CAGUGCCCAUGCACUCAUCUACAUUUUGAGUAGAGUGGUCAAUCCAGUUUUAUCAGCCCUCAUUAAAAUAUAGCCACAAGGAUGGCAAAGCCUUCCUCCCCCAGUCAGACAACAUCCGUCUCCAGAUUUUUAACUAUUCUCUGAGCUAAGUGGAGCAAGCCCUGGAUUGCAGUCCAUGGGGGCUAACUCAUUGUGUGAUCUUGUAACUUUUCUCUUCUCCAGGGCCCCUCUAUAAGAAGAGGAGGCAAACAAGAUCUCUUCUGAGGGUUUUCCCAGCUCUAACAUUCUAUAAUGCUGUCGUGUAGAAUUUUCUAUCUCCUUACAUAUUUUUUAGGAGCUAAUUUUUAAAAAAAGAAUAGGAAAAGGAUUGAAACAUUCAAAUCAUCCUAAGAUCAGCUAUGCCCAUCUCUUCUCUUCAAAGCAAUUUCUCAAGGGACACUAUAACACUCUGAUCCAAUCUCUGGCUCCUUAACUCUUGUUUUUCUGUCUCAUUAUCCUGGCUCACACUCAAGUUUUCCUCUAUUACUAUUCAAACAGCCACUAAGAAGGAAACUUUUGAGAUAUUUGCUCCCCCAUUUGAUAAAUCAUCUCCAACAUUUCAAUUAAAUAUUUACUGUGUGUGAAGUCUAAUACUGGGUGAGCUGAUGAGAGAAAGACCAGAGACAAUCUCAUCCCCACACCUCUGAGGAUUUACUAAUAGCAGGGUGUACAAUGUGUACACAUACAAGAUGGGAGAACGCAAUAAAAGUCAAAGAAGCAUAGGCUGAGGCUUGGCAGGGACUUUAAAGGUCAUCCAUCCACCCCCUUUGAUUUAUAUGAGAAGCCAAGAAAACCAAAGUUCUGUGAAGAAUUUGAAGGAGAGAACAUUCUGAGCCAGGGAGACAAAAAGAGAAGGCAGCAUGAAAGAGUUUGUGCCCAAGAUGGUUUUUGAAGAAACACAAGUAACUACUAGGCAACAAGGUCCUCCAAGGCAGGUGCAGUGUUUCCUCUAAACUUGGUAGCUCCCUACUCCCCAAACAAUGAAUAUUCAGAACCAGUGUCUGUGUUGGGGCUCCACCUCCUAGGUGAUCUUGACUUAGAAAAACAUCCUCUAACAGAAAUAUAGAAAAAAGACAACACAGCCAAAGGUAACAGAGCUUCAGAAUGGUUCAGAAGGGAAGACAGAACAAAGUUUUAGGUGCCUGUGGUGAUCCUUACCUAUCAAGAAGUUCAAGACAGAGUGAUCUUAGAGCCAGGAUUCUAGGCAGCCAAUCAGCCAGCCUGGAACAGAAGGUCAGACAAGCCAGGGUGCUUGGGAAUUGAGCUCAAGGAGGGUUUUGGACUUGGAACUGAAACUCUGCCAGAUAGGAGCUGAAUUACAAACCCAAUUCCCAUCUACCUCCCAAGAGAUUAAGGAGGGCCCCAGGGCUCAUCAGGUGACACAGUGAAUGGAAUGCUGGUCUGAAGUCAGAAAGACUUGAGUUCAAAUUUAGCCUCAAAUACUUACAGGUAUAUCCCUCAUCUUAGUGUGCUUUACUUUAUGUACUUUAUAGAUAUUGCAUUUUUUUUUUUUUACAAAUUGAAAGUUUGUGGCAACCCUGUGUGAGUAAGUCUAUAGGUGCCAUUUUUCCAACAACAUGUGCUCACACUGUAUCUCUGCGUCACAUUUUGGUAAUUCUCACAGUAUUUUAAACUUCCUCAUUAUUAUUAUAUCUACUUUGGUGAGCUGUGAUCAGUGAUCUUUGAUGCUUUUAUUGUAAUUGUUUUGAGGUGCCACGAACCACACCCAAAUAAUAAAGGUGAACUUAACCGAUAAA